GUAGGUGGCAAGCGUUGUCCGGAAUUAUUGGGCGUAAAGCGCGCGCAGGCGGUUCUUUAAGUCUGAUGUGAAAGCCCACGGCUCAACCGUGGAGGGUCAUUGGAAACUGGAGAACUUGAGUACAGAAGAGGAAAGCGGAAUUCCACGUGUAGCGGUGAAAUGCGUAGAGAUGUGGAGGAACACCAGUGGCGAAGGCGGCUUUUCUGGUCUGUAACUGACGCUGAGGCGCGAAGGCGUGGGGAGCAAACAGGGAUUAGAUACCCUGGUAGUCCACGCCGUAAACGAUGAGUGCUAAGUGUUAGGGGGGUUUCCGCCCCCCUUAGUGCUGCAGCUAACGCAUUAAGCACUCCGCCUGGGGAGUACGGCCGCAAGGCUG
rnacentral:rRNA from 1 species